UGGAGAAGUGGCUGAGUGGUCGAAAGCGGCAGAUUGCUAAUCUGCUGUAUGAUACUAUCAUACCGAGGGUUCGAAUCCCUUCUUCUCCUUG
rnacentral:tRNA from 13 species